rnacentral:hammerhead_ribozyme from 1 species
AUUCAGCUGAGAAGUCCAAAAAACAGGACGAAAUGCGCGUCCUGGAU